rnacentral:rRNA from 1 species
AUUGAACGCUGGCGGCAGGCUUAAUACAUGCAAGUCGAGGGGCAGCAUGAUUGUAGCAAUACAAUUGAUGGCGACCGGCAAACGGGUGCGGAACACGUACACAACCUUCCAACAAGUGGGGGAUAGCCCAGAGAAAUUUGGAUUAAUACCCCGUAACAUAGCGAUGUGGCAUCACAUUGCUAUUAUAGAUUUUUCGCUUGUUGAUGGGUGUGCGGCUGAUUAGAUAGUUGGCGGGGUAACGGCCCACCAAGUCUACGAUCAGUAGCUGAUGUGAGAGCAUGAUCAGCCACACGGGCACUGAGACACGGGCCCGACUCCUACGGGAGGCAGCAGUAAGGAAUAUUGGACAAUGGACGCAAGUUUGAUCCAGCCAUGCCGCGUGAAGGAUUAAGGUCCUCUGGAUUGUAAACUUCUUUUAUAAGGGACGAAAAAAGGCUUUUCUAAGUCGUCUGACGGUACCUUAUGAAUAAGCACCGGCUAACUCCGUGCCAGCAGCCGCGGUAAGAC